rnacentral:rRNA from 1 species
GGGCCCGCACAAGCGGUGGAGCAUGUGGUUUAAUUCGACGCAACGCGAAGAACCUUACCAGGUCUUGACAUCCCUUGACAGCCCAAGAGAUUGGGUGUUCAAUCUUCGGAUUGACAAGGAGACAGGUGGUGCAUGGUUGUCGUCAGCUCGUGUCGUGAGAUGUUGGGUUAAGUCCCGCAACGAGCGCAACCCUUAUUCUUAGUUGCCAUCAGGUAAAGCUGGGCACUCUAAGGAGACUGCCGGUGACAAACCGGAGGAAGGUGGGGAUGACGUCAAAUCAUCAUGCCCUUUAUGACCUGGGCUACACACGUGCUACAAUGGCCUGUACAAAGGGUAGCGAAGCCGUGAGGUGGAGCCAAUCCCAAAAAGCAGGUCUCAGUUCGGAUUGCAGGCUGCAACUCGCCUGCAUGAAGUCGGAAUCGCUAGUAAUCGCGGAUCAGCACGCCGCGGUGAAUACGUUCCCGGGCCUU